AACGAACGCUGGCGGCAUGCCUAACACAUGCAAGUCGAACGAGACCUUCGGGUCUAGUGGCGCACGGGUGCGUAACGCGUGGGAAUCUGCCCUUGGGUACGGAAUAACAGUUAGAAAUGACUGCUAAUACCGUAUAAUGACUUCGGUCCAAAGAUUUAUCGCCCAGGGAUGAGCCCGCGUAGGAUUAGCUUGUUGGUGAGGUAAAGGCUCACCAAGGCGACGAUCCUUAGCGGUCUGAGAGGAUGAUCAGCCACACUGGGACUGAGACACGGCCCAGACUCCUACGGGAGGCAGCAGUGGGGAAUAUUGGACAAUGGGGGAAACCCUGAUCCAGCAAUGCCGCGUGAGUGAUGAAGGCCUUAGGGUUGUAAAGCUCUUUUACCCGGG
rnacentral:rRNA from 1 species